UCGAUGCAAGCAUUCAGUACUAACUUGGGAAAGAGGUACUAAGAGCAGCUUAUUUCAUUAACAAGGAGAAAACUGAUGUCCAAAGCGGUUUUUUGCCACAAGGAAUGUCUGCUUAUUGGAUAGAGACAGAAAGCCAGGGGAAGUGUAGAACUUAGAGACCCAGAAAGAAGAGUAUUCAGGAUGGGAAAAAAAAAAAAAAAAAAAAA